UCACGUGACCAAACAUUCCGGCCAUUUUGAAAUGACAAAUGGUGAAAUGUUGACAUUUUUGUCAGCUGAUUUUUCUUAAGAAAGGACUGCCGCUGGUAGAAAUGAUGCUGUAAUCUUAGCGGGAAUUGGAUAACAUAAUUUAUUAUAGCAUAAUGUCUAUUGUUUUAGAAUAUUUGCAGCUUGGGUGUGCUUUUUGUAGAAUAUCUAUUUACACAUUGUUCCGCAGACUGUGCUGUAGGAGCCCACCCCCUCCCAGACCUGAGAUCUCUGUGGUUUGUAUUGGUCUAGCUAAGGCAGGAAAGAGCACACUUCUGGCACUGAUUAGUGGUGAAAGUACACAAGAUAUACAGCCUACUAUAGGUUUCAGCAUAAAAGCACUUCAAUUCAAAAACUGCAUUUUGAAUGUGAAAGAAAUUGGAGGUGGUGAAGGUGUUCGUCCAUACUGGAAGCAUUAUUUCAGUGGUGCCAAAGGGAUUAUAUUUGUUCUGGAUAGUGCCUGCCCAGAAUCUGAUCUAGAGAUAGUGAAGACAGAAUUGAGUAAUGCAUUGGCCAACCCAACACUAGACAAGUUACCUUUACUGGUGUUAGCAUGUCACCAAGAGAAAGAUGGUGCUAGAAGCAUUGAACAGUUGAAAAAAGAGCUAGAGCUGGAGUUUCAUGGUGAAGGGAGAGCAUGGCUGAUACACCCCUGUAGCUUGAAUGAUCUCCGUGGAAUCAAGGAAGGCUUUGAGAACUUUAACCAGUAUCUGCUUGGAGAGAAAUCGGUGGAGGGGGAUCAGACACCCAGAGAACAAGGACAAUCAGAAGACAUUCCAGGCAGAAUUUAAAUCUGUGAUACCUUAUAAUAUAAGCUGUAGGCAUUAAGCUUUUGCUGGGCCUCUCUCUCUGGUCACAACACAUAUUUAGUUUACUUACAUGUCUUGUUGACAGUGGAAAUAUCUUGCUAGGAGAUUGAUAACUGUAAGGCACACGUUUUAGUUGUCAAUAAGAAUAGUAAUAAUUCAUUUCUUAAACCCCCCCUACACAUGCAUCUCAGUGCUGUUUACAUGUUUACACAUGUCAUUAUGUACAUGCAUUUAAAGUUUUUUUUGUGUGUGUGAAUGACAAUUAAGUAAGGAGAGAAAUUCACAGUAUUAUUUCAGCAGUCUUUUAGUGAAUCAGGGAAAUUUAAUUUUAGGGUGGUAUCAAAUAUUAAUAAAAAUAUAUUGGUAAACAAGCUCCACGUAUCACAUCAGCUGAUAGAUAUACCUUCUUUUUGUGCCAUAAAUGGUCAAAAUUGCUCAGUCUUUUUUCAAUUUAAUAGUAUAUGAUAGCACAUGAUGCUUAUAUUUACAGUAUAUAUGUGCUAAAUAUAAUGCACCAAAAUUACUGUUUUGAAUUUAAGCACAAUUUUUGUGAAAAUUCCUUAGUUUAAACACUAAUGUUUUUUGUAUAAUGUGUUUAAAUUGGUGGAUAUAUGGUGAAAAAAUAAGGAAAAAAAGGGAAAGUGUUACAGCAUACAAAAUACUGUUUAUUGUGCACUCAAACAUAACUGAACUUAAAGAUUGAGCAUUUGUCCUAUUGAUGAUUUAACUGCAUCUCAUUUUGUAAAAUUUUAAUGUAUUGUUGACAUAUAUGUUGCUGUUUUGUUUAGAGCAAUAGGAGUGACCUAAUGCUUGAAUUUUGUGCUACUUUUAUUUAAUGCAAUAUAUAUUUAUCAUGUCUACAUAACAUAAAAUAUAAUUUGAUAUGUUAUCAAACAUGAAUUGCAAGCCUAAGUAAUAUAUUGUCAAUACAAUAGAUAUGUCAAUAGAUGGAUAUUAUCAAAACAUCUUACUUUUAGUACACAGAGUACUGGUUAGGAUAUUAUCAAAACAUCUUACUUUUAGAGCAUAGAUUACUAGUUAGGAUAUUAUCAAAACAUGUUACUUUUAGAGCAUAGAUUACUAGUUAGGUUGUAUUCAAUACAAGGUGCAGGACUGAAUGGCAAAGCUCAGUUUGACUUUGGAAAUCAGUACAUUAAUGUACUAUCAUAAAUUUUGUAAAGAUGGUUUUAAAUUUAACUUUGAUACAUAAAUGGCAAGUGGGCCAUGCCUGAUUUAAUAUUUUGUAAGUCUACCGGUAACUUGUUUUUUAAGAAUGACUAUUCCUUUAUCAUCUUUUUUUUUAGCUAUAUUUUUGUAGAGUUUUCUAAAUAUCUUAUUUGUGACUUAGUUUUGAUUUGGAAAGGAGACUGGAAGAUAUAGAGUCAAGAUAGAAAAUGGAAAAUCACAUUUAAUAAAGUACUAGUUGUGUCUAAAGUACUCAUAAGAAGCAUUUCAAUACAUGUAAGAUGUUGAUUGUUGUGGCAGGUACUGUAGAUCUGAAAUUUAUCAGUAUUGUUGGCUAAGGACCAGUUCAUUUCAUGACCCACAUUGUUAGCAUGUUCUGUAGUCUGUCUUUAGUUCAAUAAAUGUGAUUGGUGGUACACAUGGCUCAUUUCUCCCAGAACAUUACUGGUAGUAUUUCUCAACUUGUAUUUGUGGCCAUUUUAAGAUGGUGAUGUAAAUUAUGUCAAAAUCUUGAGAUGUAAAUCUUUGUUAAAAAUUUUUUUUCAUGCUUUUCAUUGUAUUAUGUUACAGUAGUGACUAUGCAGACAAAGUAAUAUUUUCUGCUAAUAAGUGAUUAAGGCACUAUUUUUGUGGGAGAAGUAUGUUGUAAGUCUUUUUGUGGCUAUUGCUAGUAAUAAAUGUACUUGUCAUAUUUCACUUUUAUAUUACUAUAGCCAAUUCCCAAAACGGAUAAAUUUUUUUUUUCAAAACUAUCUGCACACAAAGUAUUACUUUUAGUUUAAAACUAUCUGUACACAAACUAUAACUUUAGUUUCAAAUUUGGGUCACAGGAAAACUAAUCUAUUGAAGGCUAUUGUAACCUCCGUUUUG